rnacentral:rRNA from 1 species
UACGAAGGGGGCUAGCGUUGUUCGGAAUUACUGGGCGUAAAGCGCACGUAGGCGGAUUUGUAAGUCAGGGGUGAAAUCCCGGGGCUCAACCUCGGAACUGCCUUUGAUACUGCAAGUCUCGAGUCCGAUAGAGGUGAGUGGAAUUCCUAGUGUAGAGGUGAAAUUCGUAGAUAUUCGCAAGAACACCAGUGGCGAAGGCGGCUCACUGGCCCGGUACUGACGCUGAGGUGCGAAAGCGUGGGGAGCAAACAGG